rnacentral:rRNA from 1 species
GAUGAACGCUAGCGGGAGGCUUAACACAUGCAAGUCGAGGGGCAGCAUAGGGUAGCAAUACUCUGAUGGCGACCGGCAGACGGGUGAGUAACGCGUAUGUAACCUACCCUGUACAGGGGGAUAACCCGGAGAAAUUCGGACUAAUAUCCCAUGGAAAUAUUGAGAGGCAUCUUUUGAUAUUUAAAGUUCCGGCGGUACGGGAUGGGCAUGCGUAACAUUAGCUAGUUGGUAAGGUAACGGCUUACCAAGGCUUUGAUGUUUAGGGGUCCUGAGAGGGGUGAUCCCCCACACUGGUACUGAGACACGGACCAGACUCCUACGGGAGGCAGCAGUGAGGAAUAUUGGUCAAUGGGCGCAAGCCUGAACCAGCCAUCCCGCGUGCAGGAAGACGGCGCUAUGCGUUGUAAACUGCUUUUCCAGGGGGAGAAACUUGCGUACGUGAUACGCAAUUGACGGUACCCUGGGAAUAAGCAUCGGCUAACUCCGUG